AUCCUUCUGCAGUUCAUAAGCAUGAGGACUGGGUUUUCACGCGCGUGCGUGAGAUGUGCCUCCCUCGAUCCUUGUUACGACGUCGGCACAUGACCUGUCUGACA
rnacentral:snoRNA from 1 species